rnacentral:lncRNA from 1 species
AUGCUUGACGUACAACUUGUAUCUAUAUUAGAAAGGAAAAAAACCAUGAAGAUUUGUCCUGAGCCAAGCUAUCAUUCUGAUAAUCCUCUUCCCUCUGAUUACUGUUGCAACUUCCAGACUGUUUUGGAGAAUUGUAACUGUCAUAUGCCUUUCCCCUCCAACUGGAUGCUGUUUGAGAGAGCACAAAAAAACAUCAGGGAACAUGCUCCUCAUUAAACAGUAUGAACAAUUUGGUUGCAGAGCAAGUCCACAGAGAGUUCAAAUUCUCCCCCUCUAAAGAACCUCCAACUCAGAUUGAAAUAGAUCAAGAAAUGUGAAUGCUUUUGCAGGUAGAACAUGAAGAUAUUUGUACAGAUUGGUGAUGAAACAACCCAAAGUGUCUCAAAGUACAUAUGUAGGAAAGCUGCUCUUAGACACAGAGCAUACAUACUGAACAGGCGCUUAACAAAAAAGGGAAAUUAUGUCCAGAUGGAAACUUUAUAUAAUU